UAACCUGGAAUUAAAGAGAAAUAAAAUAAUUUUUUUAAUGAAAAAUAACUCUGACCCGACGGGUUGGCUCGCUUGAUCCGCGGGUUGGCCGGUCUAACCCGCGGGUUAAAUGAGCCGGGUUGCACUAACCCAAGUUCUUUUCGAGCUGAAAUUUAACCAACCCAACUCAUUUGGCUACGCCUGCCCUCUCACUGCGAAAAUCUGACAGCUGCCUCCUCCCCUAUCCAUGGCACAGGUCUCCUAUCUGAAUCGUCCUUCCCUAUCUCCUUGGGUUGUCCAGAACCUUCUCCCCCUAAUAGCCACCUCUGUUCUCACCUCCCAAGCUAUUAUUUACACUAUAAGCCCAAAAAAAAUCUAUGUUGUACUUGUCCUCUUCUAUCCUUUUUUCCUCCUAUGCUCUCCCUAUGCCAUACGCAUCUUUUUUCUCCGUUUCUUGCCUACUCCCUAUUUCGGAGUUACCCACAGCUUGCAAAUUCCAGCUUUCUGAUGUCUUUGACAGGUUGUGUGCCUACACUCCCUCCCCUACACUCCCUCUUCAUCUUCUUUACAACUUGACUGAUUUGAUGGAGUGCCUAUAAAUUGAACCAUGUCUGUGAGGAGGGGAAGGAUAAGAUGCAGUUAUCAUGCGUUUUUGCUAUUAGUGCAUGAUGUGGUUGUGGACUUGUGACUGCACUGAACCGAGAUGUAUGCGAUCUGCAAUUCAAUAUCUUAGUUAAAUUAAAGUUUUGUUUCUUAGGUGUCCCGGUUUGGUGCACUAAAGAUGACCUGCAAUUUAUUUCAGUUUUCUACUUAUAACAUGUUUGGAAUUUAAAUCAACUUAUUAUUCAUCAGAAUCAAUUCUGAUGCCGAAGCUACUCGGACAAGUUUCUCUCCGGAAUUGUUUCCGGUUUAGAAUUAUUUGUAGAGGAAUUUCCAAUAUGUUGUUUGGUGAAUGAUCAGUUACCCGUGGUUAGUACUUUCCCCCAUAUAUUGUACUGCAAUCUUAAUCCAUACAUGAUAUGUAAAAUUUUAAUGUUCAUAAGGUGGUGAAGUAAACCGGUGAUGUCUACAUUGUCGUUUUUUUUCUUCUUUCUUUGGCAUAUGUCCUUUCUUUUACUCACUAUUUGACGAGUAAAGAUUUCAUUUCCUUAAAUGUUACUCUUUGAAUAAUUUACUUAUUUCCCAACAAUAAUCACCAGUUCAAUUUACUUAUCUUCCCUGUACUAGAUUUAAUUUUAUUAUCUCCUUAUGUGCUGAUGUUAUAUUGGGUUAUAUUGGGUUAUUCUUUCCUAACUUGUAAGAAAUUCUCUUCUACUUUCAAACUUUUGCUUUUUUUUUUCUUUUUACUUUUUUUUUAUAGUGAGAGGAGGGAGUGAAGAAAAAGAUAUACUAUGGUGCCACACAUAUAGGUUUCAAUUAUGCAGUAUCUCUAUUUUAUUAGUUUGGAUUUUAGAACUAGGUGGGCUCAUUAUGCAGUAUCAUUAGUGUGGAAGACAUUUUGUAAACUUUCUAAUUUUUGGGUUAGCUCUCUAUCCCCCUCUCUCAUGAAGAAUUUCAUGGACAUCCAUUUGCUCGGUUUGAUCAGUAUGUGCUCCUUUGUUUUAUCCAUCACAUGAAGCAUAUCAAAUUGCAACAUAACUUUACUCAGCUGGGUAGGGUCAGUGCAAAGUAGUAAAAUACAUAGUAAUUAAAUAGACAUUGGUUGAGAAUCUGAUUAGCUUUUCUCACUACAGUCUCUCACAUUUAACAAUAAUAUGUCAUGAAUUUUGACUAGGGUGACAAAGCUAUGCAAAAGAAGAGGAUGGCAGACAAAAACUAAAACUUCAACCAGAGGGUCAGAGACAAACUAUUUCAUUAUGCAGUAUCUUUAGUGCACCAAACCAACACUUAUAGUACCAUUAUUACUAUUACAAAUAUUAGCAAGCAACAAAUGUUCAAUGGUCAGGCUUGGUUGUUUUGGAAGGUCAAUGUCAAGGGCUGAAGCUCAAAAUCCACUUAUUGGAGAAAACACUUGUGGCUCUUUGCUGAAGAAGCUGUGCGUAACUUCAUUCAGCAAUUCACCUUUGUCACUGGUGAUGCACAUGGUCUAAAGAAUAGUGAGAUUAGAUUAUAUUCACUCACCGUAGCCAAUAUGGAAUGUGGUUGGUGAGAGUGAUGAGGAACGAGAAAAGAUGCUUCUUUAGUAAGAGUAGCAAUGCUUGGAUGUGUACAAGAGAAAGGUUGAGCAUGCUGCCAAAUAUAGGGUACAACUACUUCAAGCCUUAUCUGAUGCUAAGCUUGAGCUUUCUACUCCUCUACCAACUCUUGGUGAAAAGAGCUUUGCUGGAAAUCCUAAGGACAUCUCAGGAACUAUGAGGAACAACUUGAAACUAAAGUACCAGUACUCGAACAGUUAUGGCAACAAAAGGAAGAAAGAAUACAAGAGUUCUCUGAUGUACAGUCACAGAUAAAAAACUUUGUGGAGAGUUAGCUAGGAACUUGAACCUUAAUGAUUUUUUACCUGCUGUUGAUAAGUCUGGCCUUUCUUGAAGAAGUUCGAUGAAUAUCAAUCUGAGUGCCAAGAUCAUCAAAAAGAUUAGGCUGAAGUGGAAGUUGAAAGACUUGAGCAGUUUAAAGCUAGCAGGAUGAAGGAAAUUGCUUCCAGGAAGCAAGGAGAACUCAAAGAGAUGUUUGCCUGUGCUCAUGUAGAAAGAUGCUGGCUGGCAAAGGAUUAUGUCAUUCAUUGAUUUUGGAGAAUUUAACCAAGUAUCCUACUUUGCGGACAUAGUUGGUUUCAGUCUUUCAGAGUGGAGCUCUUCAGUAUUAGUAUUGUUUUGUCUUUAUUUUUCUUUUUGAUGUAUAUUAUCCUUCUUCUAUGUGAUCCUUUUCCCUUUUGGUAAAGUUUCUUCUCUCAUUACAAAGUCGUCAUUCACUUAGCUUUCGUUAAGGGUUUUCCUUUGAAAGUAAAAGGUUUGAAGAUAAAUUUAUUAAUAUAUCAAAUAAAAUCAUUUACCCUA